GACGUAGGAUGCAAGCGUUGUCCGGAUUUAUUGGGCGUAAAGAGUUCGUAGGCGGUAAUUCAAGUCUAAUGUGAAAUUAUAGAGCUUAGCUCUAUUCCCGCAUUGGAUACUGUUUUACUUGAGUAAGGUAGGGGUCAGAAGAAUUCCUGGUGUAGCGGUGAAAUGCGUAGAUAUCAGGAGGAACACCGGUGGCGAAAGCGUCUGACUGGGCCUUUACUGACGCUGAGGAACGAAAGCUAGGGGAGCGAAAGGGAUUAGAUACCCCU
rnacentral:rRNA from 1 species